UCCUAAACACUAAACAUUAACCCUACACCCUAAAUCCAAAACCCUAAAAUCUAAUCCCUAAACCCUAAACCCUAAACCCUAAUGCUAAACCUUAAACCCUAAACCCUAACUCUAAACCCUAAAUCGUACACCCUAAACCUUAAAACCUAAACCCUAAACGCAAAACCUUAACCUUAAACCAUGAAUCCUACUUUAACUUCCGGGAUCUUAUUGCGUUUCUAGUUUUUAUACUGAAUGAUAAACAAAACGUCAAGUCAAUUUGGACUACAAAAACAUAAACCAAGCUUCUUCAUGAUUCUCAAAGCUUUGAUGGUGAACCCGAAUUUCUUAACAGUUUUUGGUUUUGAAUCGUAUAACAAGGAAGCACUACUUUACUCUUUGGGAUCUCGUUGAGGUUCUAGUUUUAUAUUCAAUCAUACACAUGACAUCUACUCAUAUUUUACUCUGAAAUGCUAACCUA
rnacentral:sRNA from 1 species